CCUACGGGGGGCAGCAGUGAGGAAUAUUGGUCAAUGGGCGCGAGCCUGAACCAGCCAAGCAGCGUGAAGGAUGACUGCCCUACGGGUUGUAAACUUCUUUUAUAAAGGAAUAAAACGAGGCACGUGUGCCUUUUUGCAUGUACUUUAUGAAUAAGGAUCGGCUCACUGCGUGCCAGCAGCCGCGGUAAUACGGAGGAACCGGGCGUUAUCCGGAUUUAUUGGGUUUAAGGGGCGCGUAGAUGGGUGGUUAAGUCAGUUGUGAAAGUUUGCGGCUCAACCGUAAAAUUGCAAUUGAUACUGGCAGGCUUGAGUACAGGUGAGGUAGGCGGAAUUCGUGGUGUAGCGGUGAAAUGCUUAGAUAUCACGAAGAACCCCGAUUGCGAAGGCAGCUUACUAAACUGUGACUGACAUUGAUGCUCGAAAGUGUGGGUAGCAAACAGGAUUAGAUACCCUUGUAGUC
rnacentral:rRNA from 1 species